rnacentral:rRNA from 1 species
AGCAGCCGCCGCGGUAAUACAGAGGAUGCAAGCGUUAUCCGGAAUGAUUGGGCGUAAAGCGUCUGUAGGUGGCUUUUCAAGUCCGCCGUCAAAUCCCAGGGCUCAACCCUGGACAGGCGGUGGAAACUACCAAGCUAGAGUACGGUAGGGGCAGAGGGAAUUUCCGGUGGAGCGGUGAAAUGCGUUGAGAUCGAAAAGAACACCAACGACGAAAGCACUCUGCUGGGUCGACACUGACACUGAGAGACGAAAGCUAGGGGAUCAAAUGGGAUUAGAUACCCCUGUAGUCCCUGUCUCUUAUAC